UGUUGUUUACUUUUAUACAUUUCUAGUUGCUUUUGGAGACUUUGGGACCUUACUAGUUAGCUGUAGAUGUCCUCAGGCUUUCUGUUUUUAUGUCUAUUAAAAAAAAAAUGAUUCAAGUGCUUGUCAGAGUUCAGAUUGCAUGACUUUCAUUGCAGAUGCUUAAUCAUUUCACCAGGUCCACCUCUCUAAAUUCUGCCAAAAUUUGGGUUUAUAGUGUCACACUAUUUUCUAUAGUUAGUCCAACACCUUCGUUUCCAAGCUCAUCAGUGUUCUUCCUCAAUUAAGCAUCAUCUUCUUACUGACUCUUUGAAUUUCUCAGGGUCACUUUGCUUUAUGCAUUCAUAUUACCUUCUUCCACAGCAUUAGCAUCUUGAGAUAAUAAAUGUGUUAUUUGUCUUUAUCAUCCAGAUUUGUAAUACUGGGAUCAAGAUCAAUUAUUGUGGGUCACUAUUCAGUAAGUUUUAUAGGAAAACCCACUACAGGGAUUGCCUUUAUGGAAGGACGCCUAUCUUUGGUAGGUAAAUUAACUUGGCUCAAAUUUGAGAGAUGAAAUUAUCUCAACCUGUUAAGGUUUUUUUUUAAUUUUGUUUUGUAUUGUUCACAGAUAAGUGAGUGUUCUCAUCAAGGAAUUCAUUAUAUAGUGCAACAUAAUAGGCCUGAUUAUCUAUUGAAAAGAUGGCAGACCAGGAUAUCUAGAAAGACUAGUUUGGAAAAAAAAAAUCCACAGUCCCCUCUACUUGAAUGGGGUAUAUUAAAAUCCUCAAUUUCAUUUAAUGUUUAGAGACAUAAGAACUCUGAUUAGAGAAUCAUAUGGACCUAAAAUAUAA
rnacentral:lncRNA from 1 species